ensembl:lncRNA
UUUAACCAUUUGUACAUCGUUACAACACUGUAUAUAUACAUCAUAUGACAUUUGAAAUGUCUUUAUUCUUUUGGAAAUUCUGUGAGUGUAAUUUUUACUGUUCAUUUAUAUUGUUUACCUCAAUUUUGCAUAUUAUCUACUUCUCUUGCUUUGGCAAUGUUAACAUGUGUUUCCCAUGUCAAUAAAGCCCCUUGAAUUGAAAUAAACAAAACAAAAGCGCCACCUGGUGGAGAAGACAGAUUUCGGGCCCAGUUAUCCCUCUUUGGUUCACCUCUUCCUCUCUGACAGACAACAGCAGACAGGCAGCACCAGGUCCUUGUAACUGUGAGUGCUGUAUGACAGAGACACAAGUAUCCACUACGUUCCCCACAGGUCCAUACACAGCUGUGUAGCGUAGCAAUCUAAAUAGUUUAUUUUUUAAAGAUGCUUCAGAAAAAAAGUUAACUUUCCCAAAGUCCCCACAAUGUGCGAGCCACACCCCCAUUGGUUCUCAGUACUGCUAGUAUAUAUAUACAACACACUCUAACAUCAGGCCAGUAUCCAUCUAUAUGGUGCAGGGUUCAGGUCUACUCCACAGGGUCCAGGCCCACCAUGAGGUCUCUACUCCACAGGGUCCAGGCCCACCAUGAGGUGUCUACUCCACAGGGUCCAGGCCCACCAUGAGGUCUCUACUCCACAGGGUCCAGGCCCACCAUGAGGUCUCUACUCCACAGGGUCCAGGUCUACUCCACAGGGUCCAGGCCCACCAUGAGGUCUCUACUCCACAGGGUUCAGGCCCACCAUGAGAUCUCUACUCCACAGGGUUCAGGCCCACCAUGAAGUCUCUACUCCACAGGGUCCAGGCCCACCAUGAGGUCUCUACUCCACAGGGUUCAGGCCCUCCAUGACAUCUCUACUCCACAGGGUCCAGGCCCACCAUGAGGUCUCUACUCCACAGGGUCCAGGCCCACCAUGAGGUCUCUAUUCCACAGGGUUCAGGCCCACCAUGAGGUCUCUACUCCACAGGGUCCAGGCCCACCAUGACAUCUCUACUCCACAGGGUCCAGGCCCACCAUGAGGUCUCUACUCCACAGGGUUCAGGCCCCCCAUGAGGUCUCUACUCCACAGGGUCCAGGCCCACCAUGAGGUCUCUACUCCACAGGGUCCAGGUCUACUCCACAGGGUCCAGACCCACCAUGAGGUCUCUAUUCCACAGGGUCCAGGCCCACCAUGAGAUCUCUACUCCACAGGGUUCAGGCCCACCAUGAGGUCUCUACUCCACAGGGUCCAGGCCCACCAUGAGGUCUCUACUCCACAGGGUCCAGGUCCACUCCACAGGGUCCAGGCCCACCAUGAGGUCUCUACUCCACAGGGUCCAGGCCCACCAUGAGGUCUCUACCCCACAGAGUCCAGGCCCACCAUGAGGUCUCUACUCCACAGGGUCCAGGUCCACUCCACAGGGUCCAGGCCCACCAUGGGGUCUCUACUCCACAGGGUCCAGGCCCACCAUGAGAUCUCUACUCCACAGGGUCCAGGCCUACCAUGAGGUCUCUACUCCACAGGGUCCAGACCCACCAUGAGGUCUCUACUCCACAGGGUCCAGGCCCACCAUGAGGUCUCUACUCCACAGGGUCCAGGCCCACCAUGAGGUCUCUACUCCACAGGAUCCAGGCCCACCAUGAGGUCUCUACUCCACAGGGUUCAGGCCCACCACGAGGUGUCUACUCCACAGGGUCCAGGCCCACCAUGAG